AUUGCCCUAGUAACGGCGAGUGAAGCGGCAACAGCUCAAAUUUGAAAUCUGGCCUUCGGGUCCGAGUUGUAAUUUGUAGAGGAUGCUUUUGGUGAGGUGCCUUCCGAGUUCCCUGGAACGGGACGCCAUAGAGGGUGAGAGCCCCGUCUGGUUGGACACCGAUCCUCUGUAAAGCUCCUUCAACGAGUCGAGUAGUUUGGGAAUGCUGCUCUAAAUGGGAGGUAUAUGUCUUCUAAAGCUAAAUAUUGGCCAGAGACCGAUAGCGCACAAGUAGAGUGAUCGAAAGAUGAAAAGCACUUUGAAAAGAGAGUUAAAAAGUACGUGAAAUUGUUGAAAGGGAAGCGCUUAUGACCAGACUUGGGCUUGGUUGAUCAUCCAGGGUUCUCCCUGGUGCACUCUUCCAGUUCAGGCCAGCAUCAGUUCGCUGCGGGGGAUAAAGGCUUUGGGAAUGUGGCUCCUUCGGGAGUGUUAUAGCCCAUUGUGUAAUACCCUGUGGUGGACUGAGGACCGCGCUUCGGCAAGGAUGCUGGCGUAAUGGUCAUCAGUGACCCGUCUUGAAACACGGACCAAGGAGUCGUCUUCGUAUGCGAGUGUUCGGGUGUUAAACCCCUACGCGUAAUGAAAGUGAACGCAGGUGAGAGCUUCGGCGCAUCAUCGACCGAUCCUGAUGUUCUCGGAUGGAUUUGAGUAAGAGCAUACGGGGCCGGACCCGAAAGAAGGUGAACUAUGCCUGUAUAGGGUGAAGCCAGAGGAAACUCUGGUGGAGGCUCGCAGCGGUUCUGACGUGCAAAUCGAUCGUCAAAUAUGGGCAUGGGGGCGAAAGACUAAU
rnacentral:rRNA from 1 species